rnacentral:rRNA from 1 species
AUUGAACGCUGGCGGAAUGCCUAACACAUGCAAGUCGAGCGGGGGUAGCAAUACUUCAGCGGCGGACGGGUGAGGAACACAUAGGAAUCUGCCUUUAGGUGGGGGAUAGCCAGGGGACACUCUGGGUAAUACCGCAUGAUCUCGAGAGAGCAAAGGGGCCGAAGUCUCGCCUUGAGAGGAGCCUAUGUCUGAUUAGCUAGUUGGCGGUGUAAUGGACCACCAAGGCGAUGAUCAGUAACUGGUCUGAGAGGACGAUCAGUCACACCGGAACUGAGACACGGUCCGGACUCCUACGGGAGGCAGCAGUGGGGAAUAUUGGACAAUGGGCGAAAGCCUGAUCCAGCAAUUCCGCGUGUGUGAAGAAGGCCUUCGGGUUGUAAAGCACUUUAGUUGGGGAAGAAACAGCUUGGCCACACCAAGCCUUGACGGUACCCAAAGAAUAAGCACCGGCUAACUCUGUGCCAGCCGCCGCCGUAAAAC